CAGAUGAUGCGACGAUGAUGGCGACGACUGUGUAUUGCUGCAAAAGACCCCAAAGAUCACACUAUUUGGAAGAGAACUAAUGAAGCCCUUCGUCACGAGGACUGAUGUGUUUCUCCCUUUCAAAGUUCUGAAGCUUUUUACAGUUUGGACACGUUGCACAACUACCAGAAUAUGUUUUACUUGUCUUAGGAAGAUGAUUUGUGUAGUGGGUGUAGUGCAUGAAAUAGCUGGUUUUAAGAUGAGCUUGUUAAUUCGAUCAAUUCACGUUAAGGAUUCUUUUCUCGUACUAUGUAACUUUCCGGUUUGGUGUUGUUUAUUUGAACUGAAUUUGAUGAGAAAGCGAUGAAACAUUUAAAUUAUCAAUUUGCUCGUGUAUGGCGCACGUCAGGAACUGAUGCAAAAGAUCUAACAGAGAUGGAGUCAAUAAACUAAGAAAGUAACAUGAGCUGUGUGACAUUAAUCUGUCUGUUUCAUUUUUUCAGGAUCUCGCAAACGCUGCUUCUUGCAAUGACGUUGAAAGGUGGACGACUUUUUCAUUUCAAGCGGAUGAAGCGCAACUAUGCAGUUCGUUCGACUUACUUAAAUUGCGCAUCAGCGCCCAAGCUUUUAAUAAUUUCUAAACCAAUUUACGCCAAUUUAUGAUGAAAAACUCAUUCGGAGAAGGCUAAAAAUAAAUGCGCAAAGGAACUUUGUCUCAAAAUGCCUUAGUAAGCACUAUUUUUACCACAUCAUGAUGAACGCUUCCACAAUGAAGCUGCCAAUUAUUUACAGUUAUCGACAACCCUUAUCGUUUGGCUGCGUUGGGCAUAUAAACGCAGAAGAGUCAUUCAAAGUAAAAUUGUGCGUUAACCUUCUACUUCCCAGAGACUUAAAAACUUAGUAUGAAAUAUGCCUUGCGGUACGUCUGGAGCAUGUGGGAAUACGACUUGUGACGCGGAUUAUUGAACGGGGGGAUCUCCUCAUGACAGAGAUUGCUGUUGUUGCUGCUCCCCGUGCUGCACGAUUCUCUGACGCAAGAGACGAGGGUGCACAAUCUUGUGAUUAUAAAGACUAUAUGACGACGAUGGCGACGACUGUGUACUGCUGUAAAAGACCCCGAAGAUCACGCUAUUUGGAAGAGAACUAAUGAAGCCCUUCGUCACGAGGACUGAUGUGUUUCUCCCUGUUAAAAAUUCUGGAGUUAAUUACAGUUAGGACACGUUGCGCAUCGACUACAAUAUGUUUUACUCGUAUUAGGAGUUAGAAAUUGAGUUUUUUAGAAUUUUUUCACAUAUUAUGGAAAUUUUCGGCUAAGUGCUGUUUAUUUGACCCGAGUUUGAUGACAAAGCGAUGUAAAAUUUGAGUUAUAAAUUCGCUCGUGUAUGGCGCACGUCGGGAACCGAUGUAAAAGACCUAACAGUGAUGGAGUUAAUAAACAAAGAAAGUAACAUGAA